ensembl:lncRNA
UAACAAUGUAGCUAACGUUAGCCAUUACCAUAGAAGCACGGUUAUAAGCCUACAGCUUAUCCGUUUGGUCUGAAUUAUAUUAUAGAAUUAAUUAAACAAGUUCAUAAUGCCAAUGGGCAUAUAGUCAUGUAUAUUGAAUUCGACAGGCUAAUUUGCCAGCUAGUUUCAUGCUAGCCAGGUGAUUUGCCAGUUAGUUCCUUUGCUAGCUAUAUUAUUUUAACUGGCUAUAAACGAACGCGCUUGUUUUUCCUGAAGCUUUUAAUGUGACAUGUGAAGGCAUAACACAGUGUUUGACUGAUUAAAAUAUGUAAAAACAGUGAGAUAAUUUGAUCUGUCUUGUUAUGUGGUGACCCACAAUCGAUAAGAACAAAUUCUUAUUUAAAAUUGGCGGCCUGGCCACUUGAGUGAAGGGUUGAUGUGACACCCCAAAGUAUGUGCACAUUUUGUGUAAAGGUGUUAUACUUUAAGCAAAAGUUUCUUUUUAUUGAUGUGAACUGUAAGAUAUUUGGGACUUGAAAGUAAAUCAGUAAGGUUAGAAUAGUUUGUUGUGGUGAGAAACCAGGACUCUUAUUUUGAAAACUGAAAGGAGGACUCUGAUAUAGGCGCUGUGUGCGCGCCCGCGCCCUUACAUCUGCUGAGCAACUGGUGCGACGUGACACGGAUUUUUCCUGUUAUUUUGCAGAUCAAUGGACAGCUUUGUCAUUAACACUGACAGACCUUGUCGAAAGAUUUAAAGAGGAGGGGAUUGAUGAAGAUAGUUUUCUUUUAGAUGAGGCUACCAUCAACCAGUUGAUCCUAAAACAGGAGGGGAAGCUGACAUUGCCCCUGGAUGGAUUAACACCAGGUAAUAUUCUUGUCAGCAGAUCUUGUAAAUGCAGGGAAUGCGAUGGAACAUGCGUGAUAUUUAUGCAAUUUUAUGUGAUGAAAUUGGAGGUACAUAAACCAUAUAAUCUCUCUAUCAUGUGUUUAUUGUCUUCACGUCAGCCAAAACAUUUCUGCUUUUUAUUCAGCUCAGCUACAGCAGAUAUUGGUUUGCCUACAGCGAUAACUGGAUGCUUUUGUCCAUAUUAGGGAUUUCCUGCACGUCAUACAUGAUCACUUCUAUGAGUCCGUUUUGGACGAGUAUAAAUGAAACAUACACUGCCUGAGAGUGUGUAGUUGAUGUUAACAUUGCCUCAUUCUGGACACAAAUAAAAUGUCAGGUCAUGCAUAGAUUAUCCUAAUG